rnacentral:rRNA from 1 species
AUUGAACGCUGGCGGCAGGCCUAACACAUGCAAGUCGAGCGGAGCGGCGGACGGGCGAGUAAUGCCUAGGAAUCUACCUGGUAGUGGGGGAUAACGUCCGGAAACGGGCGCUAAUACCGCAUACUAUCAGAUGAGCCUAGGUGGGCUUAGCUAGUUGGUGGGGUAAAGGCCUACCAAGGCGACGAUCCGUACCCGGUCUGAGAGGAUGAUCAGUCACACUGGGACGUAGACACGGCCCAGACUCCUACGGGAGGCAGCAGUGGGGAAUAUUGGACAAUGGGCGAAAGCCUGAUCCAGCCAUGCCGCGUGUGUGAAGAAGGUCUUCGGAUUGUAAAGCACUUUAAGUUGGGAGGCGGUACCAACAGAAUAAGCACCGGCUAACUACGUGCCAGCCGCCGCGGUAAUAC